rnacentral:lncRNA from 1 species
GCCCGUUUCCACGGCAAAGCACGAGUGUUCUUGUUGCUUUAUGUGUUUUCUAAAACUUCUAAAUAAUAGAAAGUUUUUAUGGCUGCUCAUAUCUUACCAAUAUGUGUUUAUGUUAUAACUUCAGUAAACAUUUGAUAACUUGAUAUAUGUUACAGUUUGGAAGAAUUUGUUUUGAUAAUAAGGGAAAUUUAUUUUCAGGACCACAGACUCUGAAAUAUGAAAGAGAAGUAAUAUUUCCCCAGUCUUUCUUUUUUUUUUUGGUACCGGAGAUCGAACUCGGGACCUUGCGCUUGCGAGGCAGGCACCAGAACCACUGAGGUAAAUCCCCGGCCCUCCCCAGUCUUUCUUGCCUCAAUGAGUAAAAAGAGAUUCUAGUAAUUUGACCAAAUUUAAUUCACUCUGACGUACACAUUUUGUCUUUUUGACUCAAAUGAAACUACAGAGCCAGCAUGGUGAUGCACACCUGUAAUCCCAACAGCAUGGAAGCCAAGACAGGAAGAUCACAGGCCAGCUUGGGCAACUUGGACUGAAGUGUAUGGCAGGGAAGCAGUAUUUCUGGUUCAGGCUGCUGUAGAAGCUGCCUCUUUCUUUGCCAUAUGGAGCAGAGCACCCACUGAAUGAGGAGAAUACACUCAAGUCACAACUGUGCAUGGAUGUGACCUCACCUCUGCUGAACCCCUGGAGUUCUAGAAAUGACCCAAAUGCCCAUCAAUUGUUACAGCCUCAAUGGUCCUGUGACUCUGUGAUGCUCAAUGGCAGAAUUACACCAGCUGAAGACAUCUUGAGGAGGAACAAAAUCUUCAUCUGCAUAGUUCCUCACUGUUCUAGGAUUAUUGCUGCCCUGCCCUCUGAGUCAUCUGUUACAUUUGUUACUCCUGAUAUACUAAAUCUGCAGCCCUCUGAGUCAUCUGUUACUCCUGAUGUACCAAAUAAAGCUGUGCUAAGCUCAGGGUCUUUCUAUUCUUUUUUUUUUUUUUUUGGUACCAGGGAUCAAACUCAGGACCUUGCACUUGUGAGGCAAGGAUGACACCACUGAGCUAAAUCCCCGGCCCAGCUUGGGGCCUUUCAUCUUUGCUGCCCAAUGGAGAAUUGAUCAGGCCCAAAGUUCAGCUUCUUCUCUAAGUCUCAUUUUCUGUCUUACUUCAUUAAUUCACCUUGUGCUGUCAUGGCUCACAGGAGACUAGGACUCACUGCAGGAAUUCUAGUAACAUCCCCUUUCCCUGUUCCCUACAAGGUGGGCAUGGUG